rnacentral:rRNA from 1 species
UGGAUCCUGCUGAGAGGUGGGAGUGCCCGAAAGGGAGCCAUAACACAGGUGCUGCAUGGCUGUCGUCAGCUCGUGUCGUGAGAUGUUGGGUUAAGUCCCGCAACGAGCGCAACCCUUGUCCCUAGUUGCUACGCAAGAGCACUCUAGGGAGACUGCCGGUGACAAACCGGAGGAAGGUGGGGAUGACGUCAAGUCCUCAUGGCCCUUAUGGGUAGGGCUUCACACGUCAUACAAUGGUCGGAACAGAGGGUCGCCAACCCGCGAGGGGGAGCCAAUCCCAGAAAACCGAUCGUAGUCCGGAUCGCACUCUGCAACUCGAGUGCGUGAAGCUGGAAUCGCUAGUAAUCGCGGAUCAGCAUGCCGCGGUGAAUA